rnacentral:lncRNA from 1 species
GGAAGCUCGUCGGAGACCUAUCACACUAUCCAGCAAGAGUUUCGAUAAUUAUUAUGUAUUUUGGCCAAGGUUAAUAAUAGCAUGUAUAGGUCAUUUUGAAUGGUAUUUAGUGAACGUGUAAAUGGUAAUUUGGCAUGUUUGUGCUUUGAAGUUUAUGUAUGGUUGAUGGACUUGUAAUUCUUGUUAAGUUAGGUCCUCUUAAUCACCU